AACGAACGCUGGCGGCAUGCCUAAAAAAGGAAAGUAGAAAGAGACCUUCGGGUCUAGUGGCGCACGGGUGCGUAACGCGUGGGAACCUGCCCUUAGGUUCGGAAUAACUCCCCGAAAGGGGUGCUAAUACCGGAUAAUGUCUUCGGACCAAAGAUUUAUCGCCUUUGGAUGGGCCCGCGUUGGAUUAGCUAGUUGGUAGGGUAAAAGCCUACCAAGGCGACGAUCCAUAGCUGGUCUGAGAGGAUGAUCAGCCACACUGGGACUGAGACACGGCCCAGACUCCUACGGGAGGCAGCAGUGGAGAAUAUUGGACAAUGGGCGAAAGCCUGAUCCAGCAAUGCCGCGUGAGUGAUGAAGGCCUUAGGGUUGUAAAGCUCUUUUACCCGGGAUGAUAAUGACAGUACCGGGAGAAUAAGCUCCGGCUAACUCCGUG
rnacentral:rRNA from 1 species